UACAGAGGGUGCAAGCGUUGUUCGGAAUUAUUGGGCGUAAAAGCGCGUGUAGGCGGCUUUGCAAGUCGGGUGUGAAAGCCCUCAGCUCAACUGAGGAAGUGCGCCCCGAAACUGCAGAGCUUGAGUGCCGGAGAGGGUGGCGGAAUUCCCCCAAGUAGAGGUGAAAAUUCGUAGAUAUGGGGGAGGAACACCGGUGGCGAAGGCGGCCACCUGGACGGUAACUGACGCUGAGACGCGAAAGCGUGGGUAGCAAACAGG
rnacentral:rRNA from 1 species